ACCAGACUCCUACGGGAGGCAGCAGUGAGGAAUAUUGGCCAAUGGACGCAAGUCUGAACCAGCCAAGUAGCGUGCAGGAUGACGGCCCUCCGGGUUGUAAACUGCCUUUAGUUGGGAAUAAAAGGGGGCUCGUGAGCCCCGUAUUGUAUGUACCAUCAGAAAAAGGACCGGCUAAUUCCGUGCCAGCAGCCGCGGUAAUACGGAAGGUCCGGGCGUUAUCCGGAUUUAUUGGGUGUAAAGGGUGCGUAGAUGGUUAAACAAGUUUGUUGUGAAAUCCCUCGGCUUAACUGAGGAAUUGCAACCAAAACUGUAUAUCUUGAGUACUGGAGAGGAAAGCGGAAUUCCUAGUGUAGCGGUGAAAUGCGUA
rnacentral:rRNA from 1 species